ACUCCKACGGGAGGCAGCAGUGAGGAAUAUUGCACAAUGGGCGAAAGCCUGAUGCAGCAACGCCGCGUGGAGGAUGACGCAUUUCGGUGUGUAAACUCCUUUUAUUAGGGAAGAUAAUGACGGUACCUAAUGAAUAAGCACCGGCUAACUCCGUGCCAGCAGCCGCGGUAAUACSGAGGGUGCAAGCGUUACUCGGAAUCACUGGGCGUAAAGGACGCGUAGGCGGGUUGUCAAGUCMGAUGUGAAAUCCUACAGCUSAACUGUAGAACUGCAUUUGAAACUGGCAACCUAGAGUAUGGGAGGGGGAGAUGGAAUUAGUGGUGUAGGGGUAAAAUCCGUAGAUAUCACUAGGAAUACCGAAAGCGAAGGCGAUCUCCUGGAACAUAACUGACGCUWAGGCSUGAAAGCGUGGGGAGCAAACAGGAUUAGAUACCCUGGUAGUCCACGCCCUAAACGAUGUUCASUAGUCGUCGGAAAGCUUGUCUUUUCGGUGAUGCACUUAACAGAUKAAGUGAACCGCCYGGGGAGUACGGUCGCAAGAUUAAAACUCAAAGGAAUUGACGG
rnacentral:rRNA from 1 species